GAUGAAGAACGCAGCGAAAUGCGAUAAGUAAUGUGAAUUGCAGAAUUCAGUGAACCAUCGAAUCUUUGAACGCACAUUGCGCCCGGCAGUAAUCUGCCGGGCAUGCCUGUCCGAGCGUCAUUUCUGCCCUCGAGCGAGUCCAGCAUCUAGGUGCUGGGCCCGCCCGGCGUUGGGGCACUACGGGAAGCCCUGUGCUGUCCCCCGUAGGCCCCGAAAUGAAGUGGCGGUCCUGCCGCGGCGCCCCCUGCGUAGUAUAACAGCUCGCUUCGGGACCCGGUGGAGGCCUGCCGUCAAACCUUACUCUCUAAGUUUGACCUCGGAUCAGGUAGGGUUACCCGCUGAACUUAAGCAUAUCAAUAAGCGAGGA
rnacentral:misc_RNA from 1 species